rnacentral:sRNA from 2 species
CAAGAGGAAAACUAGGGUUCCGGCUUCCUUCCUGCAAGAAGGAGCGACUGGUCCAAGAGUUUUCGGCCUCGCAUAACGAGGCUCCACGGAGGGAUAAAAACCCGGGAGAU